UGAAGCUUCAUGAGCUCUCUCCUGUGCACUGACAAGUGGCCGACUCUGGAGCCCAGGCUGUUGCUUCCCAGUCUGGUGAUGAAUCCUCCAUAGUCUGACUGUAUUUCCAGUGCUUAGUGAAUAAGCUCAGGAAUAGCUCUGUCAGUGUUUGUUGAAUGAACAACGAAUGAAGGAUUCUGUUGGUGAAUAGUGUGUUACUCUGAACAUUUCAUAACAUCUUGCUGUUGCACAUGCAGAGACAAAUGACUUGGUGCCCAAAAAGAAGGUCUCUUUUUGAUACAUUAUGGCUUGGCUUUAUUUACCUGGAUCCAGAUGAAAACUUCAAAAUUUUCCCUAAGAACAUUUUGGUGACCAAGAAAAUUGAACAGGAAAAGUUCUAGCCUGGAACUUAGGAGAAAAUAGGCGCUAGAAGAUUCCUCUCAUCUUAUCUUCCUGGAGAGGGAAGAGACUGGCCCCACUGACAUUCAGUGGUAUGCAAUGGAGAUUCAAAGACUGUGUGUGGCAAGGAGGGAUCCCCCCUGCCCCACCCCACAGACUCUAAUCAAAUGGCAAAUGACAGCAGGCUUUAAUGAGACUGGAGUGAUUUCAUGAAGACCUGGAGCAUAUUAUAUUAUAAUCUACUUUACAAAUAAGGCUGGUUGAUUAAUUUGGUGUGGUCAUAGUACUUAAGAUAGGAGCCCUUAGUUUUGGAAGCAAUUGGUUUCAGAAAAGCCAUAGCGGUGGGUCUGCAACAGUAGAAGUUCGAAGUAACACCCAGAGAUGAAAUGUUACUAUUGUCAAGGUGUAUUGCUGAUUUGCUGUGUGUUAUACAUUAAGAAAUAUAAGCUCACUGAACCCUACUCAUGGACAAACCCAUCAGGGACAGUCCUCAAAAGUGUAUUUCUGAGUUGGUACAGUAUUCAUAUUCAUUUAUGUUUUCAUUUUUGUUUCAUAGACCACCAAUAAAUUUGGGAAAUAACGCAUCUACAUAUCCCUUCUUGGACAGUCACAAUGUAUAUGGCACAUUGAUGACUUUGAGAAGUCCUGCACUAAAGGUUAUUCACCUCCUUUGACCACUAAUACUUCUUAUUCAUAAAAAAACUUAUUUGUCAAUAAAGAUAGUCUCAGCAAAGCUGAUGUAUUAAAAAACUUCUAAGCUUCAGUGGCUUAAAAUAGCAAGGUUUAUUUAUCGCUCAUGCUAUAUAUCCAUUGUUGGUUGACUGGAAAUCUUACACCACAGUCUUUACUCUGAGAUCCAAAGUGUCAGAGCCACCAUCAUCUGAGCAUUCCUUGUUGCUCUGGAAGAGAGAAGGUGAGCUCUGGGUGUUUAACAGGUAAAUAUUGCAGCUUGAAAGUGAUUCAUAACUGUGGAAUUUUGGCUCAGAACUCAUUGGUCAGAAGUAGUCACAUGGGCUCACUCAAACAUGAGGGGCUCAGAAAGUACCAUCCUACCAUGUGUCUAAAAUGUAGACAGCCAGAAAUAUUCAGUGGACAGCACUAAUGACAACUAACCCAGUCAACCUGGCUAAACACUAAUGUUCAUUAAAGUAUAGCUGGGACCCACUGCUGUUCAUGGUUUUAAAAACAAGGAUUGGGGACUUCCAGUUUUAAAAUGACAGCAUAGAAGCAAACUGGCUUCACUCCCUCCCACUCCCUCCCUCCCCCAAAACAAAUAUACAGCACUGAGAUUUUCACCAGCAACAACCUGUAACUCAAAUAUGAGGAUGAAAUAGUUCCCAAGGCCACAGGGAAGUGUAAAAACUCUGAGCAGAUGGUAAGAGAAGCAGACUUCCACAUCUGUGAUGCCUCUCCCUCCCCAUUCAUUCUGACAACAAGUACAUGGAAAAUCUUCCCCAUGUAGAAACUCAUGGUAUCUACACUGGAAAAAAUGAAAUUGAGGUGGUAAACUAACUUUCCUACUAUCUUGGGUUCCCUGGAAGGAAACUUUCUUGCCUUAACCCAAAGGAACUAUUGUGACUGCCUAAAGAAGGAAAUAUCCCUGAGGAAAGACAGAGACAAGGGAGGUUGGUGGAAUCACCAUCCCCAGCCCUGGAAACUGCUUGUAAGUUGGUCAAAGGAGAUGUCAAAUCAGAGCGGCUACUCAGCAGCACUAUGCUAUAGGAAGUAUGUUCCAUAGGUCCCCUGGGCACAAACUCCUCGCCAGUCUUCACACACCUCCAGGAUAAUGUCUUUGGGACCCCUCCCAUUUGGGACAGACAGCACUCCCACCAUUUACUAGAGCAAGGCAAACCUGGGCUUAAAAUGGCAUCUGGAGCCAAAAAGGAGACAGCAACUUAGUGGUAAGGAUUUGCUAAGCAAAUAUAUAUAUAUAUAUAUUUAAAGCCAGGAAGAGAAAAUGGAAAUAACUAAUCCUUCAAUGCAAAGACAUAGGUAUAUACCUACUAGAAACAGGAGCAAAUAGGGAACCAUGAUCUCCUCAGAAGGACAAAGCAAAAAUCCAGUGACUGAGCCUAACAAGAUGAUGAUUUGUGAGCUCUCCAACCAAGAAUUCAAAACAGCAAUUUUAAAGAAACUCAGUGAUCUCCAAGAUAACAUAGAAGUGCAAUUCAGAAAUUUAUCAGAGAAAUUUAACAAAGAGAUUGAAGUGAUUAAAAAAAUUAAACAGAAAUCUUGGAAUUGGAGAAAUACAUUUACUGAAUUGAAGAACUAAUUAAAGGCUCUCAACAGCAGGAUGGACCAAGCAGAGGAAAGAAUCAGUGAGCUCAAAGACCAAGUAUUUGAAAACACACAGUCAGAGGAGAAGAAAAGAAAAAGAUAAAAAAAAAAAAAAAAAAAAGAACACAAAAA